rnacentral:rRNA from 1 species
CACGUAGGGUGCGAGCGUUGUCCGGAAUCAUUGGGCGUAAAGAGCGUGUAGGCGGCCCGAUAAGUCCGCUGUGAAAGUCCAGGGCUCAACCCUGGAAUGCCGGUGGAUACUGUCGGGCUCGAAUCCGGAAGAGGUGAGUGGAAUUCCUGGUGUAGCGGUGAAAUGCGCAGAUAUCAGGAGGAACACCAAUGGCGAAGGCAGCUCACUGGGACGGUAUUGACGCUGAGACGCGAAAGCGUGGGGAGCAAACAGG